GACGAACGCUGGCGGCGUGCUUAACACAUGCAAGUCGAACGGAAAGGCCCUGCUUGCGGGGUACGCGAGUGGCGAAAGGGUGAGUAACACGUGGGUGAACUGCCCUGCACUUCGGGGGAAGCCUGCGGGACAGGGUCUAAUACCGGGGAGGGGCGAUCCUGAGGCAGAGGGUUGGAAGGUUUUUUGGGUGUGGGAUGAGCUCGCGGCCUAUCAGCUUGUUGGUGGGGGGAUGGCCGACCUAGGCGGCGGCGGGUAGCCGGCCGGGGAGGGUGGACGGCCACAUUGGGACCUAGAUUCGGCCCAGGCGCCCACGGGAGGCCGCAGUUGGGAAGUUUGCCCAAUGGGCGCAAGCCUGAUGGAGCGACGCCGCGGUGGGGAUGACGGGCUUUGGGUUGGAAACUCCCUUCGCUAGGGACGAAGCUGUUUGUGACGGUACCUAGAUAAGAAGCACCGGCUAACUACGUG
rnacentral:rRNA from 1 species